GGUGGAGUGACCGAGUGGUUAAGGUGCAGCAUUUAGGCCAUAAGGCAUACAUCUGCUGUGGGAAACCGCGCGAGUUCGAAUCUCGUCUCCAUCA
rfam:Colletotrichum sublineola strain TX430BB Scaffolds1445.1, whole genome shotgun sequence.